AACAUACAAUUAGAGAAGUGUGUUUAAAUGUUGAGUAGAGCACCGGUACAGUUUAGGCUACCUGUUGCCAUCCGUAAUUUUGGUACACUUCCGUUGGAGUUACUUCAAGAACAUCGCAGUGACAGUUAGGGUAUUAGUAUUGAUUGAUAGUAAGAGAUGGAUUUCGUAUUAGACUUUUAUAAGUACAACAUAUGUUUCGAUCCAUCAGUCUGGGUCUCUUCAGGUACAGUGAUAAAGAUAUUUUUUGUGUUGGCCAACCGACACAAAUAAUAUCUUGAGAGACUCCUUUAUCAAUGUGCCUGAUGAGACCCAGGCUCAUGGGUCGAAACAUACGUUGUACUUAAUAAAAGUCUAAUACAAAAUCUAUUCUCCUACUAUCGAUUAAUGCCAUAUAUAUAUAUAUAUAAAUAGAUAUAUAUAUAAAUAGAUGAGUGUAUAUAUAUAAUAUAUAUAUAUAUAUAUAUAUAUAUAUAUAUAUAUAUAUAUAUAUAUAUAUAUAUAUAUAUAUAUAUAUAAAAUGAAUAAUAAUAUACAUAUGUAUAUAAUUAUAUUAAGAGACCACGGGUGUAUAUUUAUCUGGAGUUUUUGGUAGUGUUUUGAAGGUCUCGGCACUUCAAGCAUGCUCCAGAUAGGUCAUUUCCGCCCUUGCUCCCUUAAUAUAAUUAUAUGCACAAGUAGGCAUUCCUUCGAUAUAACUCGACAAAAUCAAAACAUUUCACUUCGGAUAUUUCCGUGGGUUGUGGAGUAUAGAUAUAACGAACUUAUGUCAGCAAUGUCUCAUUUUAAACUUGAAGGUAAAAAAAAAGCCUUGCAUAUUUGUUCUUACCUGUUUCAGGUGUGUAUGUAAAAUCCGCAAAUUUCCAAGCAGAAAACAGAAUCGAACUGUCAUUUGCUUCCACGGAAAUAUCCGAAGUGAAAUGCUUUGAUUUUGUCGAGUUAUAUCGAAAGAAUGCCCAUAUGUAUAGUAUCAUUAAUUUAAUGUAUAAAUUACCUAUAAAUUGUUAUAGCAUGCCGACUACCUGAUGAACAUCAUUAACGUGAUUUUUAUCCUUAUAUUCUAUAUAUAUAUAUAUAUAUAUAUAUAUAUAUAUAUAUAAAUUGAUAUAGGCAGCAGUGUGCAAAAAGGAAAACUAUAAUUGUCACUAAAUAUGAGUAGGCUGUUAGAAACACCUACGCUGCUAGAAAUAAGAGUUAAUGCUCUUUGACUGCAGACAAAGUACGUGAUUGCAUACAUUUAUACAAACAAGGACUAUAAUCGCCCCAAAACACCGAUGUAUGUAUGUAUGUAUGUAUGUAUGUAUGUAUGUAUGUAUGUAUGUAUGUAUGUAUGUGUGUGUGUGUGUAUGUGUGUUUGUAUUUCUCUCACUCUCUUUAAACAUAUAUGUUGUGUGUGUGUGUGUGUGUGUGUGUACUAUAUUCUUCUGCUCAUUUUUGUUCACUAAAAUGUUUUACAUCAGAUAUAUAUAUAUAUAUAACGUACGACAUCAAAUUCCUCCCUGUUUCUUUAUUCGAUCUAAAAUCGCUGAAGAAGUUUAACUACGCAGAAACAUGUCUAGAAUUGUCUCCGCGCUGUCGAAGAUCACAAUCACUUUUAACUGAAAUCCAUAUUUAAUGAGAAUUUCUGGGUUGUCUCCCUUAGCUUAUAAGUGUAAGAAUUAGUCGUUUACCUAAUGUUUGUUCUCAUCACAAAAUUUAGAAUUUUAAUUAAUUCAGAUUUACCUGGUCUACUAUAUGUUAACACUUCUCUUAAUAUGAAGGUUUUGGGCAAAAAUCUGUCAAUCAUUUUUUUUAUUUCCCGGAAAAUUUAGUCUCAUUGUAAGUUCAUUCAUAAAAAUAUGAAACACGCAUAUACUCCGUCUGUCUGUCUGUCUGUCUCUCUUUCUCUCUGACACUGUCUCCCUCUCCCUUCCCCUCUCUCACUCUGUAUCUGUAACUUGUUUCAGUCAUCAGGCUACGGCCAUGCUGGGGGCACUGCAGACCCCCAAUACUUAUUUAUUCAAUUCUGCUGCCAAACUCCUCAGUUACGGGGACAUGGACGCAUCGACUCCGGUUGUCAAGUAUACACAUAUAAAUUGUGUAUGUAUGUUUGUGAUUUUAGUAAACACAGGAUAUAUAUCUACACAUACACACAUGCAUACACACAUUAAUGUAUGUAUGUGUGUACGGAUAUUUGUAAGUAUAGUAGACAUAAAAACAUUUUGAUAUCUCGGAAGGAUAACGCUUACUAAUAUUUGCAUAUUUUACUUAUAUAUAUUUCUUUACUACCCACAAGGGGCUAAACAUAGAGGGGACAAAUAAGGACAGACAAAGGGAUUAAGUCGAUUACGUCGACGCCAAUGCGUAACUGGUACUUAAUUUAUCGACCCUGAAAGGAUGAAGGGCAAAGUCGACCUCGGCGGAAUUUGAACUCGGAACGUAACGACAGACGAAAUACGGCUACGCAUUUCGCCCGGCGUGCUAACGUUUCUGCCAGCUCGCCGCCUUAGGCGUUUUAGAGAUACGUUCUUCUGUUUAAAUAUCACCUUAAACGCUAACAAAUGGCUCAACCAUGGCUCUAACAGACGGUUAAUUACUAAAAGAUAAUACUCAGUGAAUAAGUAAUUUGGUUCAUGAAUACCUGCUUACCUCAAAAUCACUUCUAACUAUUUUAUUGCUUUUUCUAGUAGAACAUUCGUGAUGUAUUUUCCCUAUCUAGGUAAGUCAUGAAUUUUUUCUUUACAAUGUAUUAAUACGCUGGUUUCGUUUUCUUUUUAUAUUCCAGUUGCAUAAUAUUCAGUGAACAGCUACUUGUAGUAAGAUUUCAUAACAUAAAGUCCUUCUGUUCCAACACCGACUGAUGAAGCGAGUAGUUGUUGAAACAUAUUGACGACCGGGAAGGUUACUACAAG
rnacentral:lncRNA from 1 species